rnacentral:rRNA from 1 species
UGGUGGAGUGAUUUGUCUGCUUAAUUGCGAUAACGAACGAGACCUUAACCUACUAAAUAGUUACAUGAACCUUUGAGUUCAUGGUCAUACUUCUUAGAGGGACUUUUGAGUGUCAAACCAAAGGAAGUUUAAGGCAAUAACA